rnacentral:rRNA from 1 species
AGAGUUUGAUCCUGGCUCAGGAUGAACGCUGGCGGCGUGCUUAACACAUGCAAGUCGAACGAAGCACUUUAUUUGAUUUCCUUCGGGACUGAUUAUUUUGUGACUGAGUGGCGGACGGGUGAGUAACGCGUGGGUAACCUGCCUUGUACAGGGGGAUAACAGUUGGAAACGGCUGCUAAUACCGCAUAAGCGCACAGCAUCGCAUGAUGCAGUGUGAAAAACUCCGGUGGUAUAAGAUGGACCCGCGUUGGAUUAGCUAGUUGGUGAGGUAACGGCCCACCAAGGCGACGAUCCAUAGCCGACCUGAGAGGGUGACCGGCCACAUUGGGACUGAGACACGGCCCAAACUCCUACGGGAGGCAGCAGUGGGGAAUAUUGCACAAUGGGGGAAACCCUGAUGCAGCGACGCCGCGUGAGCGAAGAAGUAUUUCGGUAUGUAAAGCUCUAUCAGCAGGGAAGAUAAUGACGGUACCUGACUAAGAAGCACCGGCUAAAUACGUGCCAGCAGCCGCGGUAAUACGUAUGGUGCAAGCGUUAUCCGGAUUUACUGGGUGUAAAGGGAGCGCAGGCGGUGCGGCAAGUCUGAUGUGAAAGCCCGGGGCUCAACCCCGGUACUGCAUUGGAAACUGUCGUACUAGAGUGUCGGAGGGGUAAGCGGAAUUCCUAGUGUAGCGGUGAAAUGCGUAGAUAUUAGGAGGAACACCAGUGGCGAAGGCGGCUUACUGGACGAUAACUGACGCUGAGGCUCGAAAGCGUGGGGAGCAAACAGGAUUAGAUACCCUGGUAGUCCACGCCGUAAACG